GCAUGAUGCAGUGUGAAAAACUCCGGUGGUAUAGGAUGGACCCGCGUUGGAUUAGCUAGUUGGUGAGGUAACGGCCCACCAAGGCGACGAUCCAUAGCCGGCCUGAGAGGGUGACCGGCCACAUUGGGACUGAGACACGGCCCAAACUCCUACGGGAGGCAGCAGUGGGGAAUAUUGCACAAUGGGCGAAAGCCUGAUGCAGCGACGCCGCGUGAGCGAAGAAGUAUUUCGGUAUGUAAAGCUCUAUCAGCAGGGAAGAUAAUGACGGUACCUGACUAAGAAGCACCGGCUAAAUACGUGCCAGCAGCCGCGGUAAUACGUAUGGUGCAAGCGUUAUCCGGAUUUACUGGGUGUAAAGGGAGCGUAGACGGCACAGCAAGCCAGACGUGAAAGCCCGGGGCUCAACCCCGGGACUGCAUUUGGAACUGCUGAGCUAGAGUGUCGGAGAGGCAAGUGGAAUUCCUAGUGUAGCGGUGAAAUGCGUAGAUAUUAGGAGGAACACCAGUGGCGAAGGCGGCUUGCUGGACGAUGACUGACGUUGAGGCUCGAAAGCGUGGGGAGCAAACAGGAUUAGAUACCCUGGUAGUCCACGCCGUAAACGAUGACUGCUAGGUGUCGGGUGGCAAAGCCAUUCGGUG
rnacentral:rRNA from 1 species